AUGGGUCACGGAAAAAAACAAAACCUUUUAUUUUUAUACACAUGCACAAGGGAGCCAAAGGGAGGAGAAGAAAAAGAAAGCAGACUCCAGUAAGAGAGGAACAGAGCCUUAUGAUCUGCCCGAGGCUGACAGGUCUGUUUUCUGCAGGCUUGUUGUUCAUGUGGUGUUUGAAGAUGGUUAUGGCCUCAUUUACAUUUCCUUUGUCUUUCGUCACUUCCUGUUCCCCUUAGUUUGGAAGCUGAACCCACGACCCAACAUUUUUUCAUAGUAAAAACCAAACCAUGCCUUCCCACAGCCGGACAACCUCCUUGCUACUCACUCUGCACCGUAAGCCUCACCAGACCUCACACGGACCCCAGCUGCUGCUCUCAGGCACAAGCAGCCCUUGCACCUGAUUUGGGGACAUCAAUACUGCUGUGUGUAGACACAAUGACGUGUACCAACCCGGGCUUGUUUCUCGGGACGCGCUGAACUGUUGACUGCAUCCUGUUUGCUGUCAAAUAAAUGAAUGAUGAUCCAUUGAAGUAACUUGGGCAGACAAACCGAGUCAGCAUUAUGGCCCUUACGACCACCAUGUUACAUUAAUGUUUCAUUUCUGAAUAUGGAUAUGGAGAAUCAGUUUGUAGGGUGUGUGUGUGUGUGUGUGUGUGUGUGUGUGUGUGUGUGUGUGCGCGCGCGCGCGCGGAUAACUUGGUCAGUUUGUUUUCUCUUUCCAUCCCUGGGCUUUUACCGGCCCAGCUAUCUCGCCAGCUCUGGUUUUUCUUAACUCGCAUACCUGUUUCAUCUUCUUCUUGGGACAUUACCAUUUUUAUAUAAUGAACUUAAAUUUACAUUUUGAACCUUAUGGUCUCUUUCUAAACUCUGCGUUCGAGAAUCCAAACCUACAUGGCAUCUCGUAACAGCCUGCAGCUCCAGCUUCAGGGGACUGGAUGCCUUCUUCUAGCCUCUGCGGGCACUGCACAUGCAUGGUGCACCGAUAUAUACGUAGGCAAAACAAAAUGCCCAUACACAUAGAAUGAAAAUAAUUCUUAAAGCCAAUUUAGUAACAGCAACCAAAAUGGAACCUGAUGUGCUGUGACAUCUCUGUGUGGAUGUGGAACUUAAGUCCAAACUGAGCAUGCCUAGACCAGAACCCUAGGCCUCUCACCCUUUCUCCCCCAUUAACCUUCACUAUCUGUUUUAGUUAGCGUUAACUGUCAGCUUGACGCAGCCUAGCUUUAUCUGAGAGGAAAGCCUCCAUGCAGGAACUACCUAGAUCAGAUUGGUCUGUGGCCACAUCUGUGUGGAAUCAUUGAUAUAGGAGGGACGGGCCACUGUGGGCGGCACCAUCCCUAGGCAGGUGGUCCUGGGCUGUAGAGAGAGUCAGUAAGCAGCGUUUCUCCAUGUUUUCUUUUUCAGUUUCUGCUCGGACAUCUCUGAAUGAUGGCCAGUAACCUAGAAAUGUUAAGUCAAAUAAACCUGUUCCUUCCCUGAGUUACUUCUGGUCAGGGCGCUGGGUAGCUCUGCAGACGGAGCACACCUGACAGUGUCUCGUCCAAUCUUCCUUACUGCUGUCAUUUCAGUAGUCCA